CACGUAGGGCGCAAGCGUUGUCCGGAAUUAUUGGGCGUAAAGAGCUCGUAGGCGGUCUGUUGCGUCCGCUGUGAAAACUCGGGGCUUAACCCCGAGCCUGCAGUGGAUACGGGCAGACUAGAGGUAGGUAGGGGAGAAUGGAAUUCCCGGUGUAGCGGUGAAAUGCGCAGAUAUCGGGAGGAACACCGGUGGCGAAGGCGGUUCUCUGGGCCUUACGACGCUGAGGAGCGAAAGCGUGGGGAGCGAACAGG
rnacentral:rRNA from 1 species